AAAAACUUAAUUUUAUCAGAUUUAUUAACUUUAAUAAAAGUAGUUAACAAACUACUAAAUAAUAAACUACCCCUCCUUCAGCAAAAUGGAGUUUUCUUCUCAAGAAACAGAAGUUGCUUCUGCUGCUCCUAGUGGGCUCACUUUAGACCAGCUGCCAUAUCUUUGUUUGGUUAAUAUUUGUAACUUCUUACCAGCUGAAGAUACAGCCAGACUCUCUUGCGUUUGCAAGGCUUUUAAUGAUGCUGCUAGCUCAGAGGGAAUAUGGAGGUAUGAAAUUUAAUGAUAGAUAUUGUGCAUUGCUGCUCUCUCUUCUCAUGUCUUCUUGUUUUAUUUUGCUUGUUCAAUGAUUCACACUAGUGGCUU